rnacentral:rRNA from 1 species
GGGGGGAGCAAGCGUUGUUCGGAUUUACUGGGCGUAAAGGGCGCGUAGGCGGCCACCGCAAGUCGACUGUGAAAUCUCCGGGCUUAACCCGGAAAGGUCAGCCGAUACUGCGGGGCUAGAGUGCAGAAGGGGCAACUGGAAUUCUCGGUGUAGCGGUGAAAUGCGUAGAUAUCGAGAGGAACACCUGCGGCGAAGGCGGGUUGCUGGGCUGACACUGACGCUGAUGCGCGAAAGCUAGGGGAGCGAACGGGAUUAGAUACCCCGGUAGUCCUAGCCUUAAACGAUGAAUGCUUGGUGUCUGGGGUUAUAUAGUCCCCGGGUGCCGUCGCUAACGCUUUAAGCAUUCCGCCUGGGGAGUACGGUCGCAAGACUG